GGGGCCGCCAUGGUUUCGACGGGGGUUGCAAAGUGGAUGAGGGCAUACCGGGGUCUCAGAUUCCCGUAAAACACUGAAUUUAUAUAGUCGCAAACGACAAUAACUACGCUCUAGCCGCUUAAUCGCGCUAGACUCUGCACUACAGGGCCCAUCGGGUAGGUCGCCUAAAAACGAUACGCAGAGUCAUUAAGAUGGGAUCGCUUUUGCUCGGGUUACUUGGGCAGAGGCUAAAUCUAAGGUAACUCGUUCUCUCCAAGCCUGUCGGUCGGCGUGGUCGGGAAUUAAAACCAAAUGACAUGACUAAGUAUGUAGAACUCACUAUAGAGUGCUUCCGGACGCGGGUUCGACUCCCGCCGGCUCCACCA
rfam:Janthinobacterium sp. B9-8, complete genome.